UACGUAGGUGGCAAGCGUUGUCCGGAUUUACUGGGCGUAAAGAGCGCGCAGGCGGUCGUUCAAGUCGCGUGUGAAAGCCCCCGGCUCAACUGGGGAGGGUCACGCGUACUGAUCGACUCGAAGGCAGGAGAGGGUAGUGGAAUUCCCGGUGUAGUGGUGAAAUGCGUAGAUAUCGGGAGGAACACCAGUGGCGAAGGCGACUACCUGGCCUGUUCUUGACGCUGAGGCGCGAA
rnacentral:rRNA from 1 species